GUCAGCGCACGUCAGGAAUCCGGAUGUUUCCGACAUACUGGAAGCCGCUCGGAAGGGGAAUGAUGAGGAUGGUCCCUGCAACAUGGGAAGAUGCGACACGGAGGAGGACAGCGAGGGCUUCGAUGAGAGAAAUUUAAGGCCACGAUCCGAAAAAAACAUGGACUCAUCCGACUCCGACUCCUCAAUGGUACCCCAGGAAAUGUUACUCCCUCCGACACCAGCAGAGGGCACCACCAGAUGAACUGGAUCUCCCAGGGGUCGGAUCGAGCCAAUCACAGCCAUAGUUCUACUGCAUGUGUAUCUGCUAGGGAUCAUUCACUCGCACUCUAUUAGCGGAAAUGAGAAAGUCGCGGCGCAGAAUGUGAUGUUUAUAAUUACAGGGUAUUUGUUUGGGCGAGGGAAUGUGCCUGUAAGAACAAUACACAGUCAUGUGCUGAG